rnacentral:tRNA from 1 species
GCGUAGCUCAGGUGGUUAGAGCGCACGCCUGAUAAGCGUGAGGUCGGUGGUUCGAGUCCACUCGU